rnacentral:lncRNA from 1 species
CCCAGACUGAAUUGUCAGUGAGCGGAGUCUGAGGUCGCUGUGGACUGCCCACUGGGCCUUGCCCGAGAUGGACAGCCGGAUUCCUUAUGAUGACUACCCGGUGGUUUUCUUGCCUGCCUAUGAGAAUCCUCCAGCAUGGAUUCCUCCUCAUGAGGUGGGAACCAUCUGUAUUCCUGAGUAGGAGAUUUUUUUCCCCGUGGGCAUGAGAUGAUGCAUGAAAGAGGGUACACCACCCGGACUACAACAAUGAGUUGACCCAGUUUCUGCCCCGAACCAUCACACUGAAGAAGCCUCCUGGAGCUCAGUUGGGAUUUAACAUCCGAGGAGGAAAGGCCUCCCAGCUAGGCAUCUUCAUCUCCAAGGUGAUUCCUGACUCUGAUGCACAUAGAGCAGGACUGCAGGAAGGGGACCAAGUUCUAGCUGUGAAUGAUGUGGAUUUCCAAGAUAUUGAGCACAGC